rnacentral:lncRNA from 15 species
AUGCAGUCUCCUAAAUGUUGCCGUCCAAUCUGGUUAUUUUCAACAACCAGUCCGCUCAGUAGAGGAAAAGCAAAAGCACAGUAACUGUUGAAAAAAGUACGUUUUUGAUUUCACUUACACAACAGUCUUCAGCUGAAAAUAUAAACAUAGACCUACUGUUUAGUGAGAAUUGAUGUCGCCUAUUAAAAUGCCAUUAGAGAACAUAAAUAUUCUAAAUAUUUCGUUUAUUUCAAGUGCACACUGUUAUUAAUAACAGAUAUCAGAUGGUAGCUUUUAUCCUAUCGACUAACAUUGUGCAAUAACUUCAGAUUGGCCGCACUACUUCAUGUCCUCAUGUGGCACCACCGGUCCGCCACACGGCGGCAGGCUGCGUCUGUGUGUUACCAUCCUGCAAAGACUGUUGCUCUUCAGGAACAUUUUAUCCCUCCUGGGAGAAUCUAGGUCCUCAAAACUAUUUUACUGUUGAUCCUUCCUGAAUUACUUCUGAACAUGUGCUGUUUUGUUUACAAACGGUCCAAACAUUUUGUCAACUUUAUUUUAUUUUGGCUAAAUUCCAUAUUCACAGCAGCACAUUUUGUAAGGUUAAGCCCUGUGUUAAGAUUUUAUUAAAAAACAGACUGAACAUGCAAACAAUUAUUUCACCUGACAAAAGCAGUUAAACCUAUAAAUGUAUAUCAUACAUACCUUUAUUAUUAUUUUGUUUCUUAAAUUCAUAAACUAACCUAAUUCUAAAGCAUUAUCAUUAUUAUUACAUAACUGAAAAUGCUCUCCCACCCUUACAAAACAUAAGCUAGGCUUUUUUUAGGCUCACUUGUCACAUCUAUUUAGAGAUCCAUUGGCUGCGCAGGCGCAACUUGGGUUCAGAGUUCAACAGACUUCCAAACGUUGUCGCUACGUGUCAAAAGCACCGUCCAGUCUGUCAUGUGAUGGAGUAAAGUGUGACAAUGGAUGUAUUGAAAGAGAAAGGAGGCCCACUGAAGCUGAAUAUGUGUGGAGGUAUUUGGGCUACACCCCUUUCAUUAAGUGCAAUAAUCAAACUUUUUGUCAGCCUGUUGCCUUUUUAACUCUGUUGCUCAAACUGGUUUUUACAUAUAACUAAAGGCUAUAGAUCAAUAAUUUUUUUUUUUUUUUUACAGGUAACGUUGUUUAAUAUGGGUCACAAAUAGGGUAAGAUACACACACUGGUCCACAGAGGAGUCUUGCAGACUU